GAUGAACGCUGGCGGCGUGCCUAAUACAUGCAAGUCGAGCGAACAGACGAGGAGCUUGCUCCUCUGACGUUAGCGGCGGACGGGUGAGUAACACGUGGAUAACCUACCUAUAAGACUGGGAUAACUUUGGGAAACCGGAUCUAAUACCGGAUAAUAUAUUGAACCGCAUGGUUCAAUAGUGAAAGACGGUUUUGCUGUCACUUAUAGAUGGAUCCGCGCCGCUUUAGCUAGUUGGGAAGGUAACGGCUUACCAAGGCGACGAUGCGUAGCCGACCUGAGAGGGUGGUAGGCCACACUGGAACUGAGACACGGUCCAGACUCCUACGGGAGGCAGCAGUAGGGAAUCUUCCGCAAUGGGCGAAAGCCUGACGGAGCAACGCCGCGUGAGUGAUGAAGGUCUUCGGAUCGUAAAACUCUGUUAUUAGGGAAGAACAAAUGUGUAAGUAACUAUGCACGUCUUGACGGUACCUAAUAAGAAAGCCACGGCUAACUACGUG
rnacentral:rRNA from 1 species